CCCCUCAUAGCAUAGUGGUAAUGCAGUCGGCUGUAGACCGGCGUAUCCAAGUUCGAUUCUUGGUGGGGGGA
rfam:Candidatus Pacearchaeota archaeon RBG_13_33_26 RBG_13_scaffold_150, whole genome shotgun sequence.